GUGAACGCUGGCGGUAGGCCUAACACAUGCAAGUCGAACGGCAGCACCGUAGGAGCUUGCUCUUACGGGUGGCGAGUGGCGGACGGGUGAGGAAUACAUCGGAAUCUACUUUUUCGUGGGGGAUAACGUAGGGAAACUUACGCUAAUACCGCAUACGACCUACGGGUGAAAGCAGGGGAUCUUCGGACCUUGCGCGAUUGAAUGAGCCGAUGUCGGAUUAGCUAGUUGGCGGGGUAAAGGCCCACCAAGGCGACGAUCCGUAGCUGGUCUGAGAGGAUGAUCAGCCACACUGGAACUGAGACACGGUCCAGACUCCUAAGGGAGGCAGCAGUGGGGAAUAUUGGACAAUGGGCGCAAGCCUGAUCCAGCCAUACCGCGUGGGUGAAGAAGGCCUUCGGGUUGUAAAGCCCUUUUGUUGGGAAAGAAAAGCAGCAGGUUAAUACCCCGCUGUUCUGACGGUACCCAAAGAAUAAGCACCGGCUAACUUCGUG
rnacentral:rRNA from 1 species